CGUCUUUUUUUCGGCUUUUUGCACAGUAAAAUGGCGAUUUUGCCCUCGCUAGCCACGCGUUCUUCAUCGCUAGGCUUUCUUGUUUGAUUUCUCUGCCUUUCGUUUUGCUUCUCUCUGUCGCCAUUUUCUGCCGUUGCGUUUUUUUUUCUGCCUCGCGUGUACACCUGUUGGUCAUCGCGGAAAGGAAAGCAGUGGAAAAAGCCCAUUUGCUAAUCUGAGGAAGGGGCAUCCCUCCAUUCACCGUUCUCGGGUUCUGUCGGUGGGGUCUUCUCUACCCUGCCUUCCCCGGUUUGCUCCACCGCAGCUUUUGUGCUUUCUUCCACCCCGUAGAACCCACUUUAUUUAGAUUGUCUGGGUCCUGCGAUUUUGUGAUAAUCUUCCAUGGGAAAUGACUUUUGUUUGUUUUGGUUGGUCUGAGUUCAAAUUGUUUGUUUUGGCUUGCUGUACAUGAUAUGAUCUUCAAUUGAGAUAAUUUAUGUGUGUUAAUACUUUAUGCAGUUACUUCUUAUGUUCUGGGUGAGUCUCAACCUCACAGUUUUAACCUUGUUCCAAUGGUGUCCCUGGAUCGCAUAAUAUAUGCACUAUUAAUUUUUAUUUUUUUUUAUUUUUUUAUUUCUUCCUUAUCCCUUCUCUCUCUUUCCUCUCGCAGUUCUCCCGGGACUCAGGAGAGUCCUAACAACAAGAUUCGAGUUUUGCAUGUUCAAAUUUGCCCCUCUAUCGAAGAGUGCAAUAAGCCCAGCUUGCGGUGGGUUUUCCAAAUGAAGAUGCAAGUUUUUUCUGGCUAAUUUCAGGCAUUUCCCACCUUUUUUUGGGUCCGGCGAAGAUGCAUAUUUUGCAGAUAAUCAAUCUGGAGCACAUAAAAUAUCUACCAUACCGCAGUGUAUGUAGAUGUGUUCGCUUGGAUGGAUGGUCACGGUUCAUGAAUCAAUUGCAUCCUUAUGUGCAUUGUACGGGGUUCUAGUGUUUGAAGCCCUAGCCACGUACGUUGGCCAAGUAGAUGUGCCAUCCCUCAUUGCCCUUUUCGGAGCUGCCACUACUGCUAUGAUUAAAAGGCGAGGAGUUCCGUAAGCGCACCUUGGUGGGUUUUUCUGAUGAGGAUCCCAGUUUUCUCUGGCUGAUUUCAGAACUUUUCGACCAUUUAUGGGUCCGAAGAAGGUGACACUCUAUGCUCUGAAUUGGCGUAGGUUGUGAAUUCAGCUCACUUGCAGACUUGCAGAUAGAGUAUUUAAACUAAAUAGUAAGUGUUGAGUCCUUUAAUACUCCAACUUCCAUUCGUGGCUUUCUAGAGUUCAUAUAGCAAUCAAUGAUUAAAUAUAUCUACAUACGAAUGAAAAUAAAUGAAAUGAAACCGUAGUGAACUGGGCAAAAAGCCGACUUUACAAUUGGUUACAGAGCUGGGCAAAAAGGCCACUUUGCAAUUGGUCACCAACGAGGGUGCAUCCACUUACAACUGGUUACAGGACUUCCUGUGAGUAGUUAAAGUCUUAAACUUUUGAUUAAAAAUUUUUAUGGUUUUUUUUAUCAUUUUUGUUAUUUCUGGUGUUGUUUCGAAUUUUUUAUUUUUUAUUUUUUAUUUUUAUCCGAUGUAUAUAUGUGUAGGCACUCAAAUUAGAGCUUUCUGUUCUUAUUUUGAAGAAGGAAAACUAUGGAAAGAUAGGACUCCUAUAAGAUUUCGAGUUUUUGUAGGUUUUCAAGUUUUUCCUUGGCUUCAAUUUUGGUUCUUGAAUCUGUCUGUAAUGUUUGCAUUGACCAUUUCAUCGUUUUCGAUUCCUAGAAAAAUAGCAGUUGUCAGUCUGGAUCCUGCCAACGAUGCAUUGCCGUAUCCUUUUCAUUUUUUUCGUGUUUUGUUGUUCGUAAUCUUUGUUGUGUGAGUAGUACAAGGAAGCUCCUAUAAGACUUUGGUUUUUUGUAUCUGUAAUGUUUGCGUUGACCAUUUCAUUGUUUUCGGCUCGCAGGAAAAUUACAGUCGUCAAUUUGGAUGGUGGCGACGAUGCAUUUCCGUAUCCUUUCUUUUUUUUCGGUGUUUUGUUGUUUGUAAUUUGUAAUGUUGCAUUGUAUUCCGAUGUAGAAUGUUGAGCCCUUAAAUGGAGUAAAAGGUUCUAUGUCAACUGCAUCAUUUCAUAAGGGGAUUUUAUGUCAAAUGAUGAGUUUACAAACUUAAUAAUAUUGUAGGGGUGAAUGGUAGUCUUUGUGUUGGAAGUAUCUAAUUUUAUUGUUGAUUAGGGUACCAGUUGAUCCACUUGAGUGCCAGAUCUCGCAGGACAUUGCUAAUAUCGUUGUUGCGUGGUUAGCCAAUACCUUAGGAGCAGCUGAGUAUGUAUGGAACUGUAAAUUUGAAUUUCGAAAUCGGUUUUCUGUGCAAAUUUCGUUUUUCUGAUUUUGGGGGUUUUGUUUUCAGGCUUGAACGCCAUUGUUUUCAGAAGCCCUAUGUACUCAAGGUAAGCAAUUUAUAUUUUUGGUGGAUUUAGAGUUUUGUUUAAGUUUUAUUAUAUUGGAGUUAAAUUUGGUUGUUCCUUGGAGUUGAUUUUGUUUAAGUUUAUAUUGAAGAUGAAUUUGGUUGCUCCUCGGGGUUUAUUUUUUUCAAGUUUUGGUGCAUUUAAAUUUUGUUUAAAUCUUUUUCAUUUUUUUUAUCUAUUUCCUUUUGUGAUGAUACAUGCAUGUAAACGAAAAUAAUGUAUGUGCAAUCCUGUAAUAAUGUAUGUUUGAUGAAAUUUUUCUUUUUAGGUUUAAAGGUGUAUUAUUUGUUUCAGUGUAUUUAGGACGAAACUUUUAACAAUCUUAGGUAAUAAUAGCUUGCUGCUGCAAUAAUGAUACAACAUCGUCUCUUCUAAGGAUAACACUCCUGCAAAAACUUAGACAUCCCAAUAUUUUGCAUUCUGAUUACAAAGUAUCUACCAAAAGUACAUAUCAUUAUCAAUUGUACGAUAUUUUUAGAUUGUUAGUGGUCUUGUUCUAUUUUAUAUAUUGACAUACAACGUUAACAUCCCGAUCAUUCUCCAUUGUAAACGUGUUAUCAAUAGCAACGCAUUCUGAGUUUAACAUGGAUUUCUUUUUACAGUGGGAUUAUCUACAGAAAAGUUCUCUAAAGAUGGUUACAGCGGAGACCAGUAUUCAGAACAGUGGACAAGCCUUUACAAGCUAAUUCUGCCGGUAAUAGAAACUAUGUCCUUUGUCUCUUUGCUUCCAUGCUUUUUAACAUGGAGAGAAAUUGAAUUUGUAUUUCAGAAUUAGUGUUCUUGAUGUUCAACUCUCAUAGUGAUCUUGAUUCAGAAUGAAAUGACUA